AAUGCUGCAGUGAGAGGAAGUUGUCUCUGCUUACGCUGGAGCUCAGGGCAGUGCACUGACUCUCAGUAUAACAGCGCAGGCGGAGAGGACGAGGAGCGCACACGGGAGAGAACAGACGACGGCGACGGGCGGAGAUGGCGAUGCGGCGCGCUCUGGCUGAGAAGAAGAUUAACGAAGAGAAUGGCGUCGACCCGUUCAGACGAAAGAGAAGAUCACGACGGAGGCAACAUGGUGAUGUUUGCCUGAUGAGGAAGCUUCAGCUAAGUUUCAAGGAAGGGAAGACUACUCUAACCAAUUCUGGACAGUCAAGUGGAGACUACUGCUUAAUGAGGAAGAUGGCGGCUCAUGUUUUGCUUUUGGAUUUGGAAAGAGACAUUUUAUUUGUUUGUGAUUUGCUAUGACAUUUUUAUUUAUGCGCUAAUGUGCUCAACAAUUGUAUUUUUUCACAUUUUGCUGCCUUGUUGUUUUGAUGAAAUGCCUGUAUUUUAAAUUUUUUAAAUGCUUAUUUGCCACUUUAAAAGAAAAAUAAAAAAAUUGUGAUU
ensembl:lncRNA